rnacentral:rRNA from 1 species
CAGUCGCCGCGGUAAUACAGAGGGUGCGAGCGUUAAUCGGAUUUACUGGGCGUAAAGCGUGCGUAGGCGGCUGAUUAAGUCGGAUGUGAAAUCCCUGAGCUUAACUUAGGAAUUGCAUUCGAUACUGGUCAGCUAGAGUAUGGGAGAGGAUGGUAGAAUUCCAGGUGUAGCGGUGAAAUGCGUUGAGAUCUGGAGGAAUACCGAUGGCGAAGGCAGCCAUCUGGCCUAAUACUGACGCUGAGGUACGAAAGCAUGGGGAGCAAACAGGAUUAGAUACCCGCGUAGUCCCUGUCUCUUAUAC